GAUGAACGCUAGCUACAGGCUUAACACAUGCAAGUCGAGGGGAAACGGCAUUUAGUGCUUGCACCGAAUGGACGUCGACCGGCGCACGGGUGAGUAACGCGUAUCCAACCUUCCCAUAACUAAGGAAUAACCUGCCGAAAGGCAGACUAAUACCUUAUGUAAUCCUUUGAUGGCAUCAGAUAAGGAUAAAAGAUUUAUCGGUUAUGGAUGGGGAUGCGUCUGAUUAGCUUGUUGGCGGGGUAACGGCCCACCAAGGCAACGAUCAGUAGGGGUUCUGAGAGGAAGGUCCCCCACAUUGGAACUGAGACACGGUCCAAACUCCUACGGGAGGCAGCAGUGAGGAAUAUUGGUCAAUGGACGGAAGUCUGAACCAGCCAAGUAGCGUGCAGGAUGACGGCCCUAUGGGUUGUAAACUGCUUUUGUAUGGGGAUAAAGUCAAUCACGUGUGAUUGUUUGCAGGUACCAUACGAAUAAGGACCGGCUAAUUCCGUGCCAGCAGCCGCGGUAAUACGGAAGGUUCGGGCGUUAUCCGGAUUUAUUGGGUUUAAAGGGAGCGUAGGCCGGAGAUUAAGUGUGUUGUGAAAUGUAGACGCUCAACGUCUGACUUGCAGCGCAUACUGGUUUCCUUGAGUACGCACAACGUUGGCGGAAUUCGUCGUGUAGCGGUGAAAUGCUUAGAUAUGACGAAGAACUCCGAUUGCGAAGGCAGCUGACGGGAGCGCAACUGACGCUGAAGCUCGAAGGUGCGGGUAUCGAACAGG
rnacentral:rRNA from 1 species